CGACGCUGGAAUCAGGCGCAGUGACAACGAGCGCAGACAUCCCGGAGGACAUCGCGGACAUCCAUGAUCUCCUGGCAUGGCUCAACGACGAAGUGACAUCCAAGACAGGCAAUCCUGUACGACACCGCAGACAUUGAUGACCUGCUCACGUGGAUCAACAACGAAGAGACACCCAGCACCGACAGACUUGACGACGACGUGGAAAUUGACAAUUUGCUCACCUGGAUUGACGAAGCGGCGAGUGCUCGGAGGUCCCACCAGCACAACC